rnacentral:lncRNA from 1 species
AUGGUUUUGGGAGAAAGUAAAAGUGAGCAAAGAAAGAAAAGGGCAAAAUCCACUGCAGAUGAUGGGAGCUGUGGGCAGCUGUGGGCAAGCACAUCCCCCAGCACAGCCCAGGAACCCCACCAUGAUGUUUCCAUCAUUCUUUGGGACCCAGGGGCAGCAGUGGGAGUGGGGAGAAGAAUGGUAGUCCUGCUCCUCAGCCUGGUUGCCUUUGUCCCACAGCCCCUCAGGCCAGGGCCCAUGGGCAUUCCCCAGGGAUUGUCCCCUUGGCUGGAUCCCACAGCUGGUCCCCACAGAGUGUUCCCAUGCCUGGCCCCAGUGUUCAGUCCCAUGCCCAUGAUUCAUUCACACCUGGUCCUGUGGGCACUGCCCCAUGGCUGCUCCCCACACUUGGCCCUCCUGCCUGGUCCCUCUGCUCUGGUCCUCGUGAGUGUUCCCUGCCCGGUCUUCAUACCAGGUUCCCAAGCCUGUUCAGGGGGGCUGCUCUCUGUGGCUGGUCCCUACACCUGGGCCCACAACCAGACCCCAGAGCAGAUCCCCAGACCAUGUCUGCACCCUGGGUCCUCACAGUGGGAGCCCAUGCCUAGUCCCCAUCCCUGUCCUCACACCUGUUCCCAUCUCUGCUUCCUACAUGGGCAGGGCUCUGCAGGCAGCAUCACUGGGAGCCACAGGGCCACCCACGCUGUCACAGGGCCACCCCCAGACAUGCCAUCCCUAUCUGGGGGGACAGCAUCCGUCACUGCAGCAUCCCCAUCCCACCGAGGCUUGGGGCAUCUGCCCUGGACCCCAUCCCUGGGGCAGAGCCUCUGCAGCCCAAGGAAAUCCUGCCCCCUCCCCCUCCAUCCUUUCUUCUCCGCUCCCCCUGUUUCUAAUUCUUUCUCCUCGCCCGUAAUGAGGGGAUUACACGGCAAACUCCAGCAGGACGCCUUUGUGGGGAGACAAUCCGAGUGGGGAAGGCAGUUCGGGGCUUUGUCCGCCCCUGCCCCCCCGGACCCGUGCUGGGGGGACAUUUAG